AGCCAUUUCCUCCUUCUUGAAUUCCCACAUGCUUUUAUACUCAGCAACAGCCUUCCCAUGAGCAUUACUCUUUUUAGCCUUUGCAGCCUUGACACCUUGAUGUCUUAUCUCACAAUCUUGAACAUUGCUGGUUGCUGAUUGUGAAUCUUCUUCUAGUGGUUUCCUCUUUGUUCUGCCUUUAGGAGUAGGAGUGUUGAUAGUAUUGAGAUUGAG
rnacentral:lncRNA from 1 species